GCGGCGGACGGGUGAGUAACACGUGGGUAACCUACCUAUAAGACUGGGAUAACUUCGGGAAACCGGAGCUAAUACCGGAUAAUAUUUCGAACCGCAUGGUUCGAUAGUGAAAGAUGGCUUUGCUAUCACUUAUAGAUGGACCUGCGCCGUAUUAGCUAGUUGGUAAGGUAACGGCUUACCAAGGCAACGAUACGUAGCCGACCUGAGAGGGUGAUCGGCCACACUGGAACUGAGACACGGUCCAGACUCCUACGGGAGGCAGCAGUAGGGAAUCUUCCGCAAUGGGCGAAAGCCUGACGGAGCAACGCCGCGUGAGUGAUGAAGGUCUUCGGAUCGUAAAACUCUGUUAUUAGGGAAGAACAAACGUGUAAGUAACUGUGCACGUCUUGACGGUACCUAAUCAGAAAGCCACGGCUAACUACGUGCCAGCAGCCGCGGUAAUACGUAGGUGGCAAGCGUUAUCCGGAAUUAUUGGGCGUAAAGCGCGCGUAGGCGGUUUUUUAAGUCUGAUGUGAAAGCCCACGGCUCAACCGUGGAGGGUCAUUGGAAACUGGAAAACUUGAGUGCAGAAGAGGAAAGUGGAAUUCCAUGUGUAGCGGUGAAAUGCGCAGAGAUAUGGAGGAACACCAGUGGCGAAGGCGACUUU
rnacentral:rRNA from 1 species